rnacentral:rRNA from 1 species
CCUACGGGAGGCUGCAGUGGGGAAUAUUGGGCAAUGGGCGCAAGCCUGACCCAGCAACGCCGCGUGAAGGAAGAAGGCUUUCGGGUUGUAAACUUCUUUUCUCAGGGACGAAGAAAGUGACGGUACCUGCAGAAUAAGCCACGGCUAACUACGUGCCAGCAGCCGCGGUCAUACGUAGGUGGCAAGCGUUAUCCGGAUUUAUUGGGUGUAAAGGGCGUGUAGGCGGGAGCGCAAGUCAGAUGUGAAAACUCAGGGCUCAACCCUGAGCCUGCAUUUGAAAAUGUGUUUCUUGAGUGCUGGAGAGGCAAUCGGAAUUCCGUGUGUAGCGGUGAAAUGCGUAGAGAUACGGAGGAACACCAGUGGCGAAGGCGGAUUGCUGGACAGUAACUGACGCUGAGGCGCGAAAGCGUGGGGAGCAAACAGGAUUAGAUACCCUUGUAGUC